rnacentral:rRNA from 1 species
GACGAACCGUGCGAACGUUGUUCGGAAUCACUGGGCUUAAAGGGCGCGUAGGCGGCCCGCCGCGUCCGGGGUGAAAUCCUCCCGCUCAACGGGAGAACGGCCUCGGAUACGGGCGGGCUGGAGGGGGGUAGGGGCACGCGGAACUGUGGGUGGAGCGGUGGAAAUGCGUUGAGAUCCACAGGAACUCCGGUGGCGAAGGCGGCGUGCUGGACCCCACCUGACGCUGAGGCGCGAAAGCCAGGGGAGCGAACGGG